rnacentral:rRNA from 1 species
CCUACGGGAGGCAGCAGUGGGGGAUAUUGCACAAUGGGGGAAACCCUGAUGCAGCGACGCCGCGUGGGUGAAGAAGCGCCUCGGCGCGUAAAGCCCUGUCAGCAGGGAAGAAAAUGACGGUACCUGAAGAAGAAGCCCCGGCUAACUACGGGCAAGCAGCCGCGGUAAUACGUAGGGGGCAAGCGGUAUCCGGAUUUACUGGGUGUAAAGGGGGCGCAGACGGCGAUGCAAGCCAGGAGUGAAAGCCCGGGGCCCAACCCCGGGACUGCUGUUGGAACUGCGUGGCUAGAGUGCAGGAGGGGCAGGCGGAAUUCGUGGUGUAGCGGUGAAAUGCGUAGAUAUCAGGAGGAACACCGGUGGCGAAGGCGGCCUGCUGGACUGCAACUGACGUUGAGGCCCGAAAGCGUGGGGAGCAAACAGGAUUAGAUACCCGGGUAGUC